rnacentral:rRNA from 1 species
AUUGAACGCUGGCGGCAGGCCUAACCCAUGCAAGUCGAGCGGAGCGGCGGACGGGUGAGUAAUGCCUAAGAAUCUGCCUGGUAGUGGGGGAUAACGUUCGGAAACGGGCGCUAAUACCGCAUACUAUCAGAUGAGCCUAGGUCGGAUUAGCUAGUUGUAGGGGUAAAGGCCUACCAAGGCGACGAUCAGGAACUGGGCUGAGAGGAUGAUCAGUCACACUGGAACUGAGACACGGUCCAGACUCCUACGGGAGGCAGCAGUGGGGAAUAUUGGACAAUGGGAGAAAGCCUGAUCCAGCCAGGACGCGGGUGUGAAUAAGGUCUUCGGAUUGUAAAGCACUUUAAGUUGGGAGGCGUUACCAACAGAAUAAGCACCGGCUAACUUCGUGCCAGCAGCCGCGGUAAUAC